rnacentral:lncRNA from 1 species
GCCGGGGAAGGUGGCUGCCUUUGGGAAGCGGGAACUUGUAGGAAGAGCCGCGGUGCGGUUCAGAGCGCCUUGGCUGGACUCCGUGCGCCCUGCGCUACCCUAUCGCCUCCCACGGACAGAGACGGCUCCUCUGAUUAAGACAUUUGUUCCAUGCAUCCAAUAAGAGUGUGUUCCUCGGUGGGAUUUUGAUAGUGGCUUGCAUAUCCCAGGAAGGAAUACUGAGGAACUAAAUGAUGGCAUAUGUUUGUUUAGCAGUCAUUGGAGAAUAAUUUCUUUGAAGCUACAUGGUUAUCAAUUUUGUGACAUCUGCCAAAAAGAGCCAAGAAUAAGAGCCACCUUGAUAAGAGUUUUGUCACAUCAUCAAGCUGAAACACCAAGGACUGUCAUUACACCUGGCAGGAAGGUGCCAGCAGCUCAGGGUAUAUUUUGGCCCCUCCUUGGUCUUGACAUCUUGGUACAACCUGAACAUAUGCCACAGUACACAAAGAAAAAUGGAGGCCAAAGUACGUGCUUUUCUACAAUUUUCAGAAAAAAUGUAAAUGAAUUGACAAUCUGAAGUGUUAAUGAAAAUGUAAAAUUUUAUUAAAAGUUUAAAAAUUUGGAGUAAAAAACCCAAAAAGUAUAAUUGUUAUCAAAAAGAGAGGAAAGGAAGAUGGUCUAAGGGAUAUAACUGCAUGUAUGUUUGAGUGUGUAGGAUGGAAAUCUGUAUUACUGAACUGUUGUUGGAUCAUUGAUCGGCAUUGUGUGCAAUCUCAUUGUAUGAAUGUUCACUUUACAUGCUUUAAUUUUAUAAUUUGAACAACUAUUUCAAAGAUGACAAUAUGUAACCUAUUAACUAGUGAUCUUACUGUAUUUUUUCCUUGAAAUUCUGUAUUAUUUGUACUCUUUUACUGCUGUUUUAUUUCCUUUCUUUUUUUUCUCUCUUUAAA